GAAAUGCGAUAAGUAAUGUGAAUUGCAGAAUUCAGUGAAUCAUCGAAUCUUUGAACGCACAUUGCGCCCGCCAGCACUCUGGCGGGCAUGCCUGUUCGGGCGUCAUUUCAACCCUCAGAACCCCUUGCGGGAUCUGGCGUUGGGGAUUGGCAUCCAGCCAGCCCCGAAAUCUAGUGGCGGUCCCUCCGCGACCUCCCCUGUGCAGUAGCGAUACCUCGCAGCGGGACAGCGGUCUGACCACGCCGUAAAACCCCCAACCUCUCAAGGUUGACCUCGAAUCAGGUAGGAAUACCCGCUGAACUUAAGC
rnacentral:misc_RNA from 1 species